GCGAGGGUGGCGGAAUUGGUAGACGCGCUAGCUUCAGGUGUUAGUGUUCUUACGGACGUGGGGGUUCAAGUCCCCCCCUUCGCACCA
rnacentral:tRNA from 72 species